GUCCAGACUCCUACGGGAGGCAGCAGUCGGGAAUAUUGCGCAAUGGAGGAAACUCUGACGCAGUGACGCCGCGUGCAGGAAGAAGGUUUUCGGAUUGUAAACUGCUUUAGACAGGGAAGAAAGAAAUGACGGUACCUGUAGAAUAAGCUCCGGCUAACUACGUGCCAGCAGCCGCGGUAAUACGUAGGGAGCAAGCGUUAUCCGGAUUUAUUGGGUGUAAAGGGUGCGUAGACGGGUAUACAAGUUAGUAGUGAAAUCCCUCGGCUUAACUGAGGAACUGCUACUAAAACUAUAUAUCUUGAGUACUGGAGGGGAAAGCGGAAUUCCUAGUGUAGCGGUGAAAUGCGUAGAUAUUAGGAAGAACACCGGUGGCGAAGGCAGCAUGCCGGCUCCACACUGACGCUGAGGCACGAAAGCGUGGGUAUCGAACAGGAUUAGAUACCCCGGUAAU
rnacentral:rRNA from 1 species